UACGUAGGGUGCGAGCGUUAAUCGGAAUUACUGGGCGUAAAGCGUGCGCAGGCGGUUUGUUAAGACAGAUGUGAAAUCCCCGGGCUUAACCUGGGAACUGCAUUUGUGACUGGCAAGCUAGAGUAUGGCAGAGGGGGGGUAGAAUUCCACGUGUAGCAGUGAAAUGCGUAGAGAUGUGGAGGAAUACCGAUGGCGAAGGCAGCCCCCUGGGCCAAUACUGACGCUCAUGCACGAAAGCGU
rnacentral:rRNA from 1 species